AGAGUUUGAUCCUGGCUCAGGAUGAACGCUAGCUACAGGCUUAACACAUGCAAGUCGAGGGGCAGCAUGGUCUUAGCUUGCUAAGGCUGAUGGCGACCGGCGCACGGGUGAGUAACACGUAUCCAACCUGCCGUCUACUCUUGGCCAGCCUUCUGAAAGGAAGAUUAAUCCAGGAUGGCAUCAUGAGUUCACAUGUCCGCAUGAUUAAAGGUAUUUUCCGGUAGACGAUGGGGAUGCGUUCCAUUAGAUAGUAGGCGGGGUAACGGCCCACCUAGUCAACGAUGGAUAGGGGUUCUGAGAGGAAGGUCCCCCACAUUGGAACUGAGACACGGUCCAAACUCCUACGGGAGGCAGCAGUGAGAAAUAUUGGUCAAUGGGCGAUGGCCUGAACCAGCCAAGUAGCGUGAAGGAUGACUGCCCUAUGGGUUGUAAACUUCUUUUAUAAAGGAAUAAAGUCGGGUAUGCAUACCCGUUUGCAUGUACUUUAUGAAUAAGGAUCGGCUAACUCCGUGCCAGCAGCCGCGGUAAUACGGAGGAUCCGAGCGUUAUCCGGAUUUAUUGGGUUUAAAGGGAGCGUAGAUGGAUGUUUAAGUCAGUUGUGAAAGUUUGCGGCUCAACCGUAAAAUUGCAGUUGAUACUGGAUGUCUUGAGUGCAGUUGAGGCAGGCGGAAUUCGUGGUGUAGCGGUGAAAUGCUUAGAUAUCACGAAGAACUCCGAUUGCGAAGGCAGCCUGCUAAGCUGCAACUGACAUUGAGGCUCGAAAGUGUGGGUAUCAAACAGGAUUAGAUACCCUGGUAGUCCACACGGUAAACGAU
rnacentral:rRNA from 1 species